rnacentral:rRNA from 1 species
CCAGCAGCUGCGGUAAUUCCAGCUCUAAUAGCAUAUAUUAAAGUUGUUGCAGUUAAAAAGCUCGUAGUCGGAUUUUGGGUUCGUGUGGGCUGUCGGCCUCUGGUCGGACGGCUUGCGCGUGCCUUUUUGCUUGGGAGCCCCAUGCGGGUUAACUCCCGUGUGGUGGGUCACAGGCCGUUUACUUUGAAAAAAUUAGAGUGUUCAAAGCAGGCUAUUGCUUGAAUAGAUUAGCAUGGAAUAAUGGAAUAGGACCUUGGUGCUAUUUCGUUGGUUAUGGGACUGGGGUAAUGAUUAAUAGGGACAGUUGGGGCCGUUCAUAUUUCGUUGUCAGAGGUGAAAUUCUUGGAUUUACGAACGAUGAACUUGUGCGAAAGCAUUCGGCAAGGAUGUUUUCAUUGAUCAAGAACGAAAGU